AUGGCCAAACUUGAUCAUUUAGAGGAAGUAAAAGUCGUAACAAGGUUUCCGUAGGUGAACCUGCGGAAGGAUCAUUACCGUUCGUGAACGAGAUUCCGAGUCGGAAAAAGUGAGGGGGAGAGAGAUCGCCGGCCGAUGCGGCGACUCCUCCUCCUCCGUUUUACGAGGAUCCCCGCCGAGUGCGGGGGGGGGAGAGAGAUGGAACGGAAAAUGAACCAGCGUCGGCCGGGUACCUGCCGCCUCCCUCUUUCGAGACGGCGAGAGCGCGCGGGUUUUCAAUGUCCUUCGCCCGGUCGUCGCAGGGGGUUGAGAAAAUCCCGUCUGUCGCAUUGCAGAGGAUGGAUCCGGUCAGAGCGGGUCCGAACAAUGAUUCGGACCCGCUCAAAAAAAUGC
rnacentral:rRNA from 1 species